rnacentral:ncRNA from 1 species
UCUUAUCCAGAGAGGUGGAGGGACUGGCCCCUUGAAGCCUCGGCAGCGGUCUUUUUUAAAGAACUGUGCCAAUUCCAGAAAGCAUUGCUUGAAGAUAAG